rnacentral:rRNA from 1 species
GACGAACGCUGGCGGCGUGCCUAAUACAUGCAAGUCGAACGCAGUGGGGACGGGUGAGUAACACGUGGGAAACCUCCCAUCAAAGGGGAUAACACUUGGAACAAGGUGCUAAACCGAUAGUGAUGGAUGGACCCGCGGGGCAUUAGCUAGUUGGGGAGGGAACGGCGCACCAAGGCCACGAUGCCUAGCCGACCUGAGAGUGUGAUCGGCCAAACGGGGACUGAGACACGGCCCAGACUCCUACGGGAGGCAGCAGUAGGGAAUCUUCGGCAAUGGACGAAAGUCUGACCGAGCAACGCCGCGUGAGUGAAGAAGGUUUUCGGAUCGUAAAACUCUGUUGUUAGAGAAGCGGUAUCUAACCAGAAAGCCAAGGCUAACUACGUGCCAGCAGCCGCGGUAAUAC